GGAUAGUUCAAUCGGUAGAGCAUGAGACUCUUAAUCUCAGGUUGUGGGUUUGAGCCCCACGUUGAGCA